rnacentral:rRNA from 1 species
CUUCGGUACAUCGGUGACAGGUGGUGCAUGGUUGUCGUCAGCUCGUGUCGUGAGAUGUUGGGUUAAGUCCCGCAACGAGCGCAACCCCUAUUGUUAGUUGCCAUCAUUCAGUUGGGCACUCUAGCGAGACUGCCAGUAAUAAACCGGAGGAAGGUGGGGAUGACGUCAAAUCAUCAUGCCCCUUAUGACCUGGGCUACACACGUGCUACAAUGGUUGGUACAACGAGUUGCGAGUCGGUGACGGCGAGCUAAUCUCUUAAAGCCAAUCUCAGUUCGGAUUGUAGGCUGCAACUCGCCUACAUGAAGUCGGAAUCGCUAGUAAUCGCGGAUCAGCACGCCGCGGUGAAUACGUUCCCGGGCCUU